AGGGGUUCCAGGAAAUAGCCUCCACAUCAGAUCGUACCCGAAACCGACACAGGUGGACUGGUAGAGAAUACCAAGGCGCUUGAGAGAACUAUGUUGAAGGAACUCGGCAAAAUACCUCCGUAAGUUCGCGAGAAGGAGGCCCGGUUCCUAGGCAACUAGGGGCUGGGGGCACAAACCAGGGGGUGGCGACUGUUUAUUAAAAACACAGGUCCGUGC
rnacentral:rRNA from 13 species